rnacentral:lncRNA from 1 species
AUCACCGUUGCUGCAAGGUAGCAAUGGUUAAAAAUGGACCAUGGCAAUUAUGAGCAAAGAUGGCUGCCUCCCUCACUGGACAGCAAAAGUGGAAAUCUCAUCCUACCAGCCACCAGGAGAGCUGGCCCUGUGUAAGCCAGGCAGGCUUUGGCUGGAGGACCAGUAUGCAUGGGACCCCUAAAGCACCAUCAUGAAUGGAAGUAAGUGCAGGAGAAAUUUGCCAAG